AUAAGAUAUUAUUGAUUCUUGCAAUCUUUAAAAUCGGCUUAAAACGUUUUUAUUUCUUGUUGGAUUUUAGAUAUUUAGUGUCCAACAUCUGUUGAAAAUGAUUAAAUGGUCAAGCCUUGCACUUUCUGGAAGAAAAAAACCAUUUUGCAACAUGAUUCUGCCAUUAAGCAUAUUUAUUUGAUGCUCUGGUAUCAAAUCUGCUACAUGAACUUCAUAUUGUGGCGUUAACAAAGUGCAACCACAUAAAGGUCAUAGUGGACAACUCUGGUGCAGAUACGUAGCAAAGGAAGGAAGGAUAAUGCUGAUCAACCAGCUACAAUAAUGAGAAACGAUAAAGAUGUCAGAUAAAUACUUAAAUGGGAUCAAGUCAUUGGAUUUGAAAUCAGUUUUUUUCAAGUCUUGUCAUUAGGUAUUCAAAAAGAUGUCAUUAGGUAUCAAUUUUGCUUUUUUUAGUCUUUGGUUUAUAAAGAAAGACGAUCAACUACUAAGGGCAACAGUUUUAUAGCUGGAUUUAGUCACUUCUGUUUGUUUGCGGUUGAUUCAGAAAUCAUGUGCCAUAUUUAAUCAUUUUGACAUUUUUAUCAGCUUUAAUUAUACCAAAAUUAUUAUGCCAUUAUCUCACUUUCAUUUGAAGAGACCACCCAUGUCAUUGUUAACAUUUCUUGUCUUUCGUAUUUUUUAAUAAAAAAGAUAGCAUUUCAAAAACGAAAUUUGAUCAGCAAAUGAAUCUUAAUUCUAGUUCUCUAGUGCUUGUAUGCAUCAAGCAAUGGACAGUUUUACGGAUAAAGGACUGGAAAAUCUUCUCAGCAUUUGUCUUAUAAAUGCGGAAAAAUGGCUUUUAACUAAAUCAUCAUCUAGUGAUUCAUAUUUGUCACAUGGAUUCAUCACUGACAAUGUGUUUAUUCACUAAGUGGGGCUCAAGAAAUCAGUAAACAAAUUCAAAGCAAAUAUUGGUAUAUACAAAACUAAGCAACUUUCCUUACUGGUUAUUUCAACUUAGCUGUUUAACAGAACUCCAAUGAAUUAAAAGUUCUUUUCCUCGCCUAUAAUUUCUAUAUCGAAAAUAAGAAGUUCCUUUUUAAGAUCGCACAGUUCAUCAAUUUCCUAAAAUAAUUUAAGUAGUAAAUUCUCUUUAUGGAUAGCAACUUAUAUUCUUGGAGGCUAAAGAAUUUACAUUGCCUUUUCUGAAACGUUGAUAAGUCACGCCAGAAUUUGACAUGUUCUUUUACCAGAAUUGUAGUUCUCGGCAUUCCGUUUGGUGACGUAAGCUCCCUUGUUGAUUUCAAACGUGGAGAGAAAAGAGUUCAAAAGGUUAAGUGAUCUUAAGUGGCCCUUACUUUAUUGCAAACAGUAUCCUAUAAUCUGAUUGUAGGUUUGAUAUAAAAAGCAUGUAGUUCUCUGCAAAAGGAAUUUCGGCUUAUAUCUCAGUAACGUGGUUGCUGCUGUGAUUAUGACCAACUUCGAAUGAGACACUCGGAUAAGGAACAAUGCAUGUUAAGCCUUUAAUCUAGUGCUCGAUAAAAACAGCUAGAUAUGAUAUGAUUAUUAGACCCGUAUUCAAGAGAUCAUUCAGUCAUGCAAUCAUUUGGUGGUCUUGUGAUCUUUGACGCAGCAGUUUGUUCCAAAAGGACAAUAAUAUACAGAAGCAUAAUACUUCUUAAAAAAAGAAUAUUAUAAAUAUUAUUUGAACUUUAUUCUAUAUUAAAACUGAACUUAUAUAGAUAGCACCGCUGGUCAUGAGAUUGAAUCUUUCAACGGUCCU